ensembl:lncRNA
CUUUCGAUGUGGUACCAAAGUGCAUAUCCGAGCCAGAAGCCAUCUGAGUAGUGGGGUCUGGGGCUUUAAGCACAUCCCAGAACUUUAAGGCUUUCUCAGAAGGAGUCUCUGGGGACCUAGGAAAGAGGGAAGGAGUGGGUAACGGCGUUGGCCACCAUCUGGCUCGCAUAGAACCUUCGUGCAGAUUGUUAAAAACAGCCCCCUCUGGGCACAUCAGAAAGAUACGGGACUUGGCAAAUAAACCACAGUCUGUAUUUUGGUGCCUUUGUGCAGUCUACGACCUGCUCACAUACGGGUUGUGGUAGGCUGAAUAACGACUCUCCAAAGAAUAUCCACAGCUAAAAUCUCCGGAACCUAUAAAUGUUACCUUCAUGGUAAAGGGAGCUUGCAGAUGUGAUUAAGUUGAAGAUCUUGAGAUGGGGAGAUUAUUCUGGAAUAUGUGGGUGAGCCCUAAAUGUAAUCACAAAGGUCCUCAUAAGAGAGAAGCAGGGAGGUCAAAGGAGGACACACGUCUGUGUGUCCACAGAAGGCAGAAGCUGUAGCCGGUCAGGAAAGGGUCAUGUGACAUGCUACGGAAUGCAGGGACUCCCAGAGGCACAAGAGGCCAAGAAAUGAAUUCUCCCUGAGCCUCCAACAGGAACCGGCCCUGCGACACCUUGACUUUGACCAACUGAGACUGAUUUUGGACUUCUGACCUCAAACCUGUGAAAUAAUUAAUUUGUGUUGCAGGGAGCCAGAUCUGUUUCUUGCCACAGAGGCGGCAGGAAAUAAAUACACGGCCCUUUGACCACUCCUUCCUUCCUUCUUCGAAAAAAGCCUUCUCUUUUCACCUGCGAUGCACGUUGGGAUUUCAAGUACGAAUUCAUCCCACGAGGAAGGAGACGUGCGGCCGGAUGCGGUCUAAAAACACAGCGCCGGACCCCAACACAGCGCUGCCAUGGUUCUGACUGUGAAGAGGGAAGCCAGAAGGCAAGUGGACAGGAGGGCGAAGUGGAAAUUCGAAUUGCUGGAGCCUCUGCAUCGGAAACAUUACCUCUCUCCUCGUGAUAGCUUGGACAGGAGCGCGCAGUCCAUGACAAAGAGAGUUGGAUGUGUCUUUGCCGGAGCCUCUCCAAACCUCCCUCCUUUUGCCUCAGGCUGGGUUGGCUUCUUGGACCCUGAGAUCAUUUUCUUUCCUCCUCCGGAGCACUACCCCCGCUCUGAUCAGGAAUCUUACUGUCGUAGCACAUCGUCAGACCCAGGGACCUCUCUCCCUGGCUUGCCCUGCAUUCUACGUCCAGCACCAGCUCGCGUUGGGGUUGUCGUCUGCUCUCUAGAAGCCGCUUGCAUUGUCCCCACUUCCCCGAGCUGUGACUUGGUCAGGACCUGAGUGCCGGAGCCGACAGAGGCAGCCAAUCCCAUCUGUCCACCAGGGAAUGAACAACCAGAGACGUGAAAAGCUCUUCCGCUCCAGAUCAGCACCAAAAAAAAAGACUUUCCAUUCUAACCGUACCUCGAUUCCAGAACAGAGUAAAUUCCACCACCCGCCCUGUAGUCAGAACUGCGUCCUGGGUGCGUAGAAAGUCACCUCGGGACGCAAGAAUUCUUUCUCUUUCUCUCUCUCUCCUUCCCUCCCUUCCUCCCUUCUUUACGGAAAUACUCCUCGAGCACAUGUGAUGACGAAGAAACUACAGACAAAGGAGGUGGGGAGUGAAGACAGAGGUUUGAGCUCCCCAGUGGGAGACGCGGAAACAUCAGGCAACAGUUACGAAGUGGUGCAUUAAGUGCCUUCAGAGAAGAGACAGAGGAUGCUGGGAGUGUAAGGAAGGGGCGCCUUAUCCAACGGGGCAAUAAAUAAGCAACCGAUGUCA